CAGCAGCCGCGGUAAAACGAAGGGUGCAAGCGUUACUCGGAAUUACUGGGCGUAAAGCGUGUGUAGGUGGUUGUUUAAGUCUGUCGUGAAAGCCCUGGGCUCAACCUGGGAAUUGCGAUGGAUACUGGGCGACUAGAGUGCGGUAGAGGAUAGUGGAAUUUCCGGUGUAGCAGUGAAAUGCGUGGAGAUCGGAAGGAACAUCUGUGGCGAAGGCGACUAUCUGGGCCAACACUGACACUGAGACACGAAAGCGUGGGGAGCAAACAGGAUUAGAUACCCGUGUAGUCCCUGUCUCUUAUAA
rnacentral:rRNA from 1 species